rnacentral:rRNA from 1 species
AUGGAGGACCCCUGUCUUUCUACGCAGCUUAUUGAUGGAGAUGGUGUUUUCAAUGUUUCUGGAUUGGAGAGUUUCAUGAAGGAAGUUAAAUUGGCCGAAUGUGGGCUCUCAUACGCUGUUGUAUCAAUAAUGGGCCCACAGAGUAGUGGUAAAAGUACACUUUUGAAUCAUCUUUUCCGCACCAAUUUUAGGGAGAUGGAUGCUUUCAGAGGAAGGUCACAGACAACCAAAGGUAUAUGGAUGGCGAAGGCCCAGAAUAUUGAACCAUGCACCCUUGUAAUGGAUUUGGAAGGCACUGAUGGAAGAGAGAGGGGAGAGGAUGACACGGCCUUUGAGAAGCAGAGUGCAUUAUUUGCUUUGGCUGUUUCGGAUAUUGUGUUGAUCAAUAUGUGGUGCCAUGAUAUUGGCAGAGAACAGGCUGCGAACAAGCCUCUUUUGAAGACUGUUUUCCAGGUCAUGAUGAGAUUAUUUAGUCCUCGCAAAACAACAAUGCUAUUUGUUAUUCGUGACAAAUCAAAGACACCUUUGGAAAAUCUUGAACCGAUUUUAAGAGAAGAUAUUCAGAAGAUAUGGGAUGGUGUUCCUAAACCCCAUGCCCAUAAAGAUACUCCACUCAGUGAAUUUUUCAAUGUGCAAGUGGUGGCCCUUAACAGUUAUGAGGAAAAGGAAGAGUUAUUUAGAGAGCAGGUUUCCAACUUGAGAGAUAGGUUUCAACAGUCUAUUGCUCCUGGUGGACUUGCUGGAGAUCGGCGUGGUGUUGUUCCAGCAUCAGGUUUUUCAUUUAGCUCACAGCAAUUUUGGAAGGUCAUCAAGGAGAACAAAGACCUUGACCUACCUGCUCAUAAAGUUAUGGUGGCUACUGUGCGUUGUGAAGAAAUUGGUUAUGAGAAAGUUGCCACUUUUACAGCUGAUGAGGAAUGGCAACAAUUUGAGGAGGCUGUUCAAAGUGACUAUGUACCAGGUUUCGGGAAGAAAAUCAGCAGCCUGCUUGAUAGAUGUUUAUCAGAAUACGACAUGGAGGCUAUUUAUUUUGAUGAAGGUGUCAGAACAUCAAAAAGGCAUCAACUUGAGUCUAAACUCUUGCAGCUUGUCAAUCCUGCAUACCAAUCUCUUCUUGGUCAUUUACGGACUAGAACUUUAGAAGCAUUCAAAGAGUCCUUUGAUAAGGCCGUUGAAAAGGAGGGAUUUGCUGUUGCUGCUCGCGAUUCUACCCAGAUUUUCUUGGAGAAGUUUGAUAAAGGAUCUGAAGAUGCUACCAUUCAACAAGUGAACUGGGAUCCCUCGAAAGUUAAGGAUAAGCUUAAGCGUGACAUUGAGGCUCAUGUGGUGUCAGUUCGUGCUACAAAGCUUUCUGAACUUUGUGCCACAUAUGAGGGCAAACUUACCAAAGCUCUUGCAGAACCUGUUGAAGCUCUUCUAGAUUCAGCCAGUGAAGACACCUGGCCAGCUAUUAGAAAGCUUCUUCAGCGUGAGACAAAAGCCGCCGUUUCAGGUCUUGAAUCUGCUAUUUCAACUUUUGAGCUUGAUGAAGCUACUGAAAAAGAAUUGCUCUUGCGGCUGGAGAAUCACGGAAGGAGCGUUGUUGAAUCAAAGGCAAGAGAAGAAGCUGCAAGGAUCUUGAUCCGCAUGAAGGACAGAUUCUCGACGUUAUUCAGUCGUGAUGCCGACUCGAUGCCAAGAGUAUGGACAGGAAAGGAAGACAUCAAAGCAAUUACUAAAACUGCUCGUUCAGCUUCCAUGAAGUUGCUUUCUACGAUGGCUGCAAUUCGGUUGGAAGAAGAUGGUGACAACAUUGAUACCACUCUUUCCCUUGCUCUAGUAGAUGCUGCGAGGCCAGGGACUACAGAUAGAAGUAUUCAAUCGCUUGAUCCACUCGCCUCCAGUUCAUGGGAAAGGGUUCCAGAGGAGAGAACUUUAAUCUCCCCUGUCCAGUGCAAGUCUCUGUGGAGGCAAUUUAAAGCUGAAACUGAGUAUACCGUCACUCAAGCCAUAGCUGCUCAGGAAGCAAACAAGAGGAACAACAACUGGCUGCCUCCUCCAUGGGCGCUCGCCGCGAUGGCUGUCCUUGGUUUCAAUGAGUUCAUGACAUUACUGAGGAACCCAUUUUACCUGGCCGUCAUGUUUGUAGUUUUCCUAGUCGGGAAAGCCAUAUGGGUACAACUAGACAUUGCCAAUGAAUUCCGAAAUGGAUUUCUUCCAGCUCUCCUUUCGCUGUCGACAAAAUUUGUUCCGACAAUUAUGAACAUUCUGAAGAGACUAGCUGAUGAGGGGGCAGCGCCCGCAGCCCCAGAGAGGCAGAGAGAGACGGAGCUCCAACCAAGGAAUAAUAGUUCAAACAGCAACGUGACAUCAGCAGGUUCCUCCAGCUUAACCUCUUCAGAGAAUGGACCUGAAUAUUCAAGCCCGGUAGCACAAUGA